AUACGUAGGUGACAAGCGUUAUCCGGAUUUACUGGGCGUAAAGGGCGUGUAGGCGGUCUUGCAAGUCAGAAGUGAAAUUCCUGAGCUCAACUCGGGCGCUGCUUCUGAAACUGUAUCCCUUGAGUAUCGGAGAGGCAGGCGGAAUUCCUUGUGUAUGGGGGGAAUGCGUAGAUAUUAGGAGGAACACCAGUGGGGAAGGCGGCCUGCUGGACGACAACUGACGCUGAGGCGCGAAAGCGUGGGGAGCAAACAGGAUUAGAUACCCUGGUAGUCCACGCUGUAAACGAUGAAUACUAGGUGUGGGGGGACUGACCCCCUCCGUGCCGCAGUUAACACAAUAAGUAUUCCACCUGGGGAGUACGAUCGCAAGAUUGAAACUCAAAUGAAUUGACGGGG
rnacentral:rRNA from 1 species